rnacentral:lncRNA from 1 species
UCUCCCUUGAUCUGAGCAUAGAUAUCUAAACCAUUUUCACACCUAUAAAUACUAUUAACUUUUACGUGGGUUUCUUUGCUAACUUGAGUUUGUGGAUAUCCUCCAUUGCUCAUGUAAACUGCAUUCUGGGAUUUUGGACUAAUCUAUCACAUCUCCAGACAAAUUACUUGUCAAUCCAGUUUGUCCAAUUACUAAGAGUCCAAAGCCAUCACCUUCCAAACUUGGGACAUAGUAGUAUUCCUUUUUGUUAGUGAUUUC